UACGUAGGUGGCAAGCGUUUGUCCGGAUUUACUGGGCGUAAAGAGCGCGCAGGCGGUCGUUCAAGUCGCGUGUGAAAGCCCCCGGCUCAACUGGGGAGGGUCACGCGAUACUGAUCGACUCGAAGGCAGGAGAGGGUAGUGGAAUUCCCGGUGUAGUGGUGAAAUGCGUAGAUAUCGGGAGGAACACCAGUGGCGAAGGCGACUACCUGGCCUGUUUCUUGACGCUGAGGCGCGAAAGCUAGGGGAGCAACGGGG
rnacentral:rRNA from 1 species